rfam:Triticum aestivum genome assembly, contig: Triticum_aestivum_CS42_TGACv1_scaffold_255489_3DL
CAAGUAAUCCCUCCGUCCGGAAUUACUUGUCAUCAAAAUGGAUGUGUCUAGAACUAAAAUACAUCUAGAUACAUCCAUUUCAAUGACAAGUAUUUUCGGACGGAGGGAGUACAAG